rnacentral:rRNA from 1 species
GAUGAACGCUGGCGGCGUGCCUAAUACAUGCAAGUCGAGCGAACAGACGAGGAGCUGGCUCCUCUGACGUUGGCGGCGGACGGGUGAGGAACACGUGGACAACCUAGCUAUAAGACUGGGAUAGCUUCGGGAAACGGGAGCUAAGACGGGAUAAUAUAUUGAACAGCAUGGGUCACUAGUUAAAGACGGUUGUGCGGGCAGUUAUAGAAGGAUCCGCGCCGCAUUAGUUAGUUGGUAAGGUAACGGCUUACCAAGGCAACGAUCCGUAGCCGACCUGAGAGGGUGGGCAGCCACACGGGGACUGAGACAAGGCCCAGACUCCUACGGGAGGCAGCAGUGGGGAAGAUGAGACAAUAGGAGAAACCCUGAUCUAGCCAUGCCGCGGGAGCGAUGAAGGCCUUAGGGUUGUAAAGCACUUUCAGCUGGGAAGAUAAGGACGGUACCAGCAGAAGAAGCCCCGGCUAACUCCGUG